AGCGAACGCUGGCGGCAGGCUUAACACAUGCAAGUCGAGCGGGCACUUUCGGGUGUCAGCGGCGGACGGGUGAGUAACGCGUGGGAACGUGCCCUCUGGUUCGGAAUAACUCAGGGAAACUUGAGCUAAUACCGGAUACGCCCUUUUGGGGAAAGGCUUGCUGCCGGAGGAUCGGCCCGCGUCUGAUUAGCUAGUUGGUGAGGUAACGGCUCACCAAGGCGACGAUCAGUAGCUGGUCUGUGAGGAUGAUCAGCCACACUGGGACUGAGACACGGCCCAGACUCCUACGGGAGGCAGCAGUGGGGAAUAUUGGACAAUGGGCGCAAGCCUGAUCCAGCCAUGCCGCGUGAGUGAUCAAGGCCUUAGGGUUGUAAAGCUCUUUUAUCCGGGACGAUAAUGACGGUACCGGAGGAAUAAGCCCCGGCUAACUUCGUG
rnacentral:rRNA from 1 species